rnacentral:rRNA from 1 species
GACGAACGCUGGCGGCGUGCCUAACACAUGCAAGUCGAGCGGAGGUACAAUGAGAGCAAUCGAGAUGUACUUUAGCGGCGGACGGGUGAGUAACGCGUGAGCAACCUGCCUAUCACAGGGGGAUAAGGCGGCGAAAGCCGCUCUAAUACCGCAUGAGACCCUCAAAGCGAUGCAAUGGGGGUGAAAGGAGCGAUCCGGUGAGAGAUGGGCUCGCGUCCGAUUAGGUAGUUGGUAGGGUAAGGGCCUACCAAGCCAAUGAUCGGUAGCCGGCCUGAGAGGGUGAACGGCCACAUUGGAACUGAGAGACGGUCCAAACUCCUACGGGAGGCAGCAGUGGGGAAUAUUGGGCAAUGGGCGGAAGCCUGACCCAGCAACGCCGCGUGAGGGAAGAAGUCCUCGGUGUGUAACGUACAACUGAAGAGUAACGAAGUAAAGAACGGAAAGGGAACGGUAACCGGGUACGGAACGGUAAGUAAGUAGUAAAGAACCGGACCGAACCGUACGUACGUACGACGCACGCCGCGGUAACGUAACGUACGUACG